rnacentral:rRNA from 1 species
GCGUCGUCUUCAGAGUUUGAUCCUGGCUCAGGACGAACGCUGGCGGCGUGCCUAACACAUGCAAGUCGAACGGAACUGCUUCGAAGGAUUUCUUCGGAAUGACAUUGAUUCAGUUUAGUGGCGGACGGGUGAGUAACGCGUGAGUAACCUGCCUUCAAGAGGGGGAUAACAUUCUGAAAAGAAUGCUAAUACCGCAUGACAUAUGAUUGUCGCAUGGCAGACAUAUCAAAGAUUUAUCGCUUGAAGAUGGACUCGCGUCCGAUUAGUUAGUUGGUGAGGUAACGGCCCACCAAGACCGCGAUCGGUAGCCGGACUGAGAGGUUGAACGGCCACAUUGGGACUGAGACACGGCCCAG